rnacentral:rRNA from 1 species
GUGAGGAAUUUUCCGCAAUGGGCGAAAGCCUGACGGAGCAAUGCCGCGUGAAGGAUGAAGGCCUAUGGGUUGUAAACUUCUUUUCUCAGAAAAGAAUUAUGACGGUAUCUGAGGAAUAAGCAUCGGCUAACUCUGUGCCAGCAGCCGCGGUAAGACAGAGGAUGCAAGCGUUAUCCGGAAUGAUUGGGCGUAAAGCGUCUGUAGGUUGUUUAAAAAGUAUUCUGUCAAAGAUUAGGGCUUAACCCUAGAUAGGCAGAAUAAACUUUUAAGCUAGAGUUUGGUAGGGGCAGAGGGAAUUCCCGGUGGAGCGGUGAAAUGCGUAGAUAUCGGGAGGAACACCAAAGGCGAAGGCACUCUGCUGGGCCAAUACUAACACUGAGAGACGAAAGCGAGGGGAGCAAAUGGGAUUAGAUACCCGUGUAGUCC